UUUAUGGAGAGUUUGAUCUUGGCUCAGGACGAACGCUGGCGGCGUGCCUAAUACAUGCAAGUCGAGCGCAGGAAGCAAACUGAUCCCUUCGAGGUAAUGUUUGUGGAAUGAGCGGCGGACGGGUGAGUAACACGUGGGCAACCUGCCUGUAAGAUCGGGAUAACUCGCGGAAACGUGAGCUAAUACCGGAUAAUACUUCUCACCUCAUGGUGGGAAGAUGAAAGACGGUUUCGGCUGUCACUUACAGAUGGGCCCGCGGCGCAUUAGCUAGUUGGUGGGGUAACGGCUCACCAA
rnacentral:rRNA from 1 species